AGUGAACGCUGGCGGUAGGCCUAACACAUGCAAGUCGAACGGCAGCACAGUAAGAGCUUGCCCUUACGGGUGGCGAGUGGCGGACGGGUGAGGAAUACAUCGGAAUCUACUUUUUCGUGGGGGAUAACGUAGGGAAACUUACGCUAAUACCGCAUACGACCUACGGGUGAAAGCAGGGGAUCUUCGGACCUUGCGCGAUUGAAUGAGCCGAUGUCGGAUUAGCUAGUUGGCGGGGUAAAGGCCCACCAAGGCGACGAUCCGUAGCUGGUCUGAGAGGAUGAUCAGCCACACUGGAACUGAGACACGGUCCAGACUCCUACGGGAGGCAGCAGUGGGGAAUAUUGGACAAUGGGCGCAAGCCUGAUCCAGCCAUACCGCGUGGGUGAAGAAGGCCUUCGGGUUGUAAAGCCCUUUUGUUGGGAAAGAAAAGUAGCAGGUUAAUACCCCGCUGUUCUGACGGUACCCAAAGAAUAAGCACCGGCUAACUUCGUG
rnacentral:rRNA from 1 species